rnacentral:rRNA from 1 species
AUGAAGACGACAGGAGGAGGCAGCGGACAACCAGCCAUGUCCGGACUUGUGUUCUUCCUCUUCCUCUUUUCCCUCUUCACUGCCUCUGCCUCGACGACCAAGCAAAGCCAGGUCUAUAUAGUGUAUCUGGGCGAGCAUGCCGGAGCCAAGUCGAAGGGAACCGUCCUUGAUGAUCACCAUGCCCUCCUCCUCUCCGUCAAGGGCAGCGAGGUGGAGGCACGGGCGUCGCUGCUGUACAGCUACAAGCACAGCCUGAAUGGCUUCGCGGCCCUUCUCUCGGACGACCAAGCCACAAAGCUUUCAGAGAGGACUGAGGUAGUGUCUGCCUUUCGGAGCGACGGGAAGUGGUCCCCCCACACCACGAGGUCUUGGGAGUUUGUGGGCUUGGAGGAAGGGCUCAGCAAGGGCUGGCUGCCGUCUGGCGCUCACGCCGGCGAGAAUGUCAUCGUAGGCACGCUGGACUCCGGGAUCUGGCCGGAGUCGAGGAGCUUCGGCGACGAAGGGCUAGGGCCAGUGCCCGCGCGGUGGAAGGGAGUGUGUCAAGGAGGAGAUUCCUUCAAUUCCUCCUCCUGCAACAGGAAGGUCAUCGGCGCGCGGUACUACCUCAAGGCCUACGAGGCCCAGCACGGCAGGCUGAACACCACGAACGCGUGCCGCUCGCCACGCGACCACGACGGCCACGGCACCCACACCGCGUCCACCGUCGCGGGCCGCGCCGUGCCAGGCGUGGCGGCGCUCGGGGGGUUCGCGGCCGGCACGGCCUCGGGUGGGGCGCCGCUCGCCCGCCUCGCCAUCUACAAGGUGUGCUGGCCCAUACCGGGGCCCAACCCCAGCAUCGAGAACACAUGCUUCGACGCCGACAUGCUCGCGGCCAUGGACGAUGCGGUCGGCGACGGUGUCGACGUGAUGAGCGUCUCCAUCCUACCGGACGACGGCAUCGCCGUCGGCGCGCUGCACGCCGCCAGGCGCGGCCUGGUUGUCGUGUGCAGCGGUGGGAACUCUGGCCCCGCGCCGGCCACUGUGUCGAACCUUGCGCCGUGGGUACUCACGGUCGGCGCCAGCAGCAUCGACCGCUCUUUCAACUCGCCCAUCAGGCUUGGUAAUGGCAUGGUGAUCAUGGGACAAACGGUAACACCAUAUCAACUGCCGGCGAACAGGACGUAUCGAAUGGUUUAUGCAGCACACGCCGUGGUUCCUGGCACUCUCGCCAACGUUACCAACCAAUGCCUGCCAAAUUCACUGUCGCCGCAGAAGGUGCGAGCAAAAUCGUGGUCGGGCGGGCGGCGCGGCGAUUGUGCUCGGCAACCCGCCGAUGUACGGCAGCGAGGUGCCCGUCGACGCGCACGUGCUCCCGGGAACGGCAGUCUCCAUGGCCGACGUCGACACCAUCCUCAACUAUACAUUAACUACAGCACGAACCCAGCCGCUUACCUGGAGCGCUCGAGGACAGUCGUGGACGUCAAACCGUCGCCGGUGAUGGCGCAGUUCUCGUCGCGUGGCCCCAACGUCCUCGAGCCCAGCAUUCUCAAGCCUGACGUGACGGCGCCAGGCCUGAACAUCCUGGCGGCGUGGAGCGAGGCGUCGUCGCCGACAAAGCUUGACGGCGACAAUCGCGUGGUGAAGUACAACAUCAUCUCGGGGACAUCCAUGUCGUGCCCGCACGUCUCCGCCAUCGCCGUCCUCCUCAAGUGUGCCCACCCCGAGUGGAGCGCUGCGGCAAUCCGAUCAGCCAUCAUGACCACCGCAACGACCAACAACGCGGAAGGCGGCCCAAUAACGAACGCUGACGGAACGGCGGCGGGGCCCAUGGACUACGGCUCGGGCCACAUCAGGCCCAAGCACGCGAUGGACCCGGGCCUGGUGUACGACGCGUCCUUCCAGGACUACCUCCUCUACGCCUGCGCCAGCGGCGGCGCGCAGCUCGACCGCUCGUUCCCGUGCCCGGCGAGCCCGCCGCGUCCGCACGAGCUCAACUACCCUUCCGUCGCCAUCCACGGCCUCAACGGGUCCACCACCGUGCACCGGACGGUGACCAACGUCGGCGAGCACGGGGCGCAUUACAGCGUCGCCGUGGUCGAGCCCAUGGGCUUCUCCGUGAAGGUCUCGCCGACGAGCCUCGCCUUCGCACGCACCGGAGAGAAGAAGACCUUCACGAUAAAGAUCGCCGCGACCGGGAAGAAAAGUCGGCGUAUGAAGAGGAAAUAUCUUGCAGGCUCGUACACGUGGAGCGACGGAGUCCAUGCUGUGAGGAGCCCCGUCGUUGUUCUCGUCGCGUGA